ACGUGAAUUCCUGUGGAGCCCUUCUGAAUACUGUCAAGAAUUUUUGGUGAAAGAUCCAUCAUGCUACAAGCCAUUAGCACUCAAAAGGUGGACAAGGGGAUUUCCUGCUCCUUCAAAGAACAGACAAGAGUGGAAAUGU